rnacentral:lncRNA from 1 species
CACCGCAUGGUAAGGGUUAAUACCUAAAAAAAAUGCUUUUGAAAUACACAUGUAGUCAAUAAGCAUUAUGCGGUAUUCUCAUCUGGUAUUCAAACAGAAGAAGACUUAAAAGCAAUAUUUGAAGCAAGUUCUGUAUUCAAUAAUACAGAUAGUGAAGACCCAUUUACCGAGACUGUCUUAGAACUUGACAUCAAGUAUGCACGAAAGAGGGCCCUUUCUGGCCAGCAGAUACAAGCUGAUUCUUCGACAAAAAAACAUUUUAACUGUUCUCUCCGAAGAUGAUAAAGUUGUCAUUCCUAUUCCGUCCAUUGAUAGGGGCCCUGUCGAUGAGAGAAACAUUGAAGGCGUGGUGAUGAAUGUGAAUGAACAUGGCGGCUCUAAACUUGGAACUAAAGUUGGACCAAAAAAAAGGAUACUUGAGUAGAAACCAUGUUCAUUUUUUUGCAAAUGCAACUUUAAAUGUGUUUGAAGUGUCAAUGAGUGAUAUGAUUGUGAGAGCAAUAUAUGAGAUAAUGAGUAAGUUAUCAUUGAGUAGAGGGCAAGAUUUUGUGCAUCGUCAAUACACCUUAUCGCUAUUUGUCCGCCAAUACUGGAUAUCACACAGGUUCCCGUAAAUUUUUGAAUGCACAAAACAAAAUAUCUGAUGCAACAAUGGAAAAGUGAUUGUUGUAUGCGUCAAAAGUUCAAGCGGCCGGGUCAGCCAGGAUUAGCGAUAAGGUGUAUGUGAGAAAGGCAGCUGUACUGAUAGACUGGGAGGUGUAAAUGUAGAAAAAUGAAAGUUUUAUAUAAUUCAAAGUGUCAAAUGUCUCUGUUUUGUAGCAAGAAUUAAAAAAAAACUUGUUUCUAAAAUGUAUGAAAAUCUAGUAUUUUAUACAUGCUGUAAAUUUUAGCAUUGUACAAAUUAUAACAUGUACAAUAUUUUUGUACAUGUUAUAACCUGUACAAAAUUGCAACUUGUACUCG